rnacentral:ncRNA from 2 species
UUGAAGGCCGAAGAGGGGAAAGGUUCCA